rnacentral:rRNA from 1 species
GAUGAACGCUGGCGGCGUGCCUAAUACAUGCAAGUCGAGCGAACGGACGAGAAGCUUGCUUCUCUAAUGUUAGCGGCGGACGGGUGAGUAACACGUGGAUAACCUACCUAUAAGACUGGGAUAACUUCGGGAAACCGGAGCUAAUACCGGAUAAUAUUUUGAACCGCAUGGUUCAAAAGUGAAAGACGGUCUUGCUGUCACUUAUAGAUGGAUCCGCGCUGCAUUAGCUAGUUGGUAAGGUAACGGCUUACCAAGGCAACGAUGCAUAGCCGACCUGAGAGGGUGAUCGGCCACACUGGAACUGAGACACGGUCCAGACUCCUACGGGAGGCAGCAGUAGGGAAUCUUCCGCAAUGGGCGAAAGCCUGACGGAGCAACGCCGCGUGAGUGAUGAAGGUCUUCGGAUCGUAAAACUCUGUUAUUAGGGAAGAACAUAUGUGUAAGUAACUGUGCACAUCUUGACGGUACCUAAUCAGAAAGCCACGGCUAACUACGU